UUAAGCGACUAAGCGUACACGGUGGAUGCCCUGGCAGUCAGAGGCGAUGAAGGACGUGCUAAUCUGCGAAAAGCGUCGGUAAGGUGAUAUGAACCGUUACAGCCGGCGAUGUCCGAAUGGGGAAACCCAGUGCAAUUCGUUGCACUAUCGUUAACUGAAUACAUAGGUUAACGAGGCGAACCGGGGGAACUGAAACAUCUAAGUACCCCGAGGAAAAGAAAUCAACCGAGAUUCCCCCAGUAGCGGCGAGCGAACGGGGAGCAGCCCAGAGUCUGAAUCAGCUUGUGUGUUAGUGGAACGGUCUGGAAAGUCCGACGGUACAGGGUGAUAGUCCCGUACACCAAAAUGCACAGGUUGUGAACUCGAAGAGUAGGGCGGGACACGUGGUAUCCUGUCUGAAUAUGGGGGGACCAUCCUCCAAGGCUAAAUACUCCUGACUGACCGAUAGUGAACCAGUACCGUGAGGGAAAGGCGAAAAGAACCCCGGCGAGGGGAGUGAAAAAGAACCUGAAACCGUGUACGUACAAGCAGUGGGAGCACCUUCGGGUGUGACUGCGUACCUUUUGUAUAAUGGGUCAGCGACUUAUAUUCUGUAGCAAGGUUAACCGUAUAGGGGAGCCGCAGGGAAACCGAGUCUUAACUGGGCGUUAAGUUGCAGGGUAUAGACCCGAAACCCGGUGAUCUAGCCAUGGGCAGGUUGAAGGUUGGGUAACACUAACUGGAGGACCGAACCGACUAAUGUUGAAAAAUUAGCGGAUGACUUGUGGCUGGGGGUGAAAGGCCAAUCAAACCGGGAGAUAGCUGGUUCUCCCCGAAAGCUAUUUAGGUAGCGCCUCGUGAACUCAUCUUCGGGGGUAGAGCACUGUUUCGGCUAGGGGGUCAUCCCGACUUACCAACCCGAUGCAAACUACGAAUACCGAAGAAUGUUAUCACGGGAGACACACGGCGGGUGCUAACGUCCGUCGUGAAGAGGGAAACAACCCAGACCGCCAGCUAAGGUCCCAAAGUCAUGGUUAAGUGGGAAACGAUGUGGGAAGGCACAGACAGCCAGGAUGUUGGCUUAGAAGCAGCCAUCAUUUAAAGAAAGCGUAAUAGCUCACUGGUCGAGUCGGCCUGCGCGGAAGAUGUAACGGGGCUAAACCAUGCACCGAAGCUGCGGCAGCGACACUAUGUGUUGUUGGGUAGGGGAGCGUUCUGUAAGCCUGCGAAGGUGACCUGUGAGGGUUGCUGGAGGUAUCAGAAGUGCGAAUGCUGACAUAAGUAACGAUAAAGCGGGUGAAAAGCCCGCUCGCCGGAAGACCAAGGGUUCCUGUCCAACGUUAAUCGGGGCAGGGUGAGUCGACCCCUAAGGCGAGGCCGAAAGGCGUAGUCGAUGGGAAACAGGUUAAUAUUCCUGUACUUGGUGUUACUGCGAAGGGGGGACGGAGAAGGCUAUGUUAGCCGGGCGACGGUUGUCCCGGUUUAAGCAUGUAGGCUGGUUGUCCAGGCAAAUCCGGAUAAUCAAGGCUGAGGUGUGAUGACGAGGCACUACGGUGCUGAAGUAACAAAUGCCCUGCUUCCAGGAAAAGCCUCUAAGCAUCAGGUAACACGAAAUCGUACCCCAAACCGACACAGGUGGUCAGGUAGAGAAUACCAAGGCGCUUGAGAGAACUCGGGUGAAGGAACUAGGCAAAAUGGUGCCGUAACUUCGGGAGAAGGCACGCUGGUGUGUAGGUGAAGUCCCUGCGGAUGGAGCUGAGACCAGUCGAAGAUACCAGCUGGCUGCAACUGUUUAUUAAAAACACAGCACUGUGCAAACACGAAAGUGGACGUAUACGGUGUGACGCCUGCCCGGUGCCGGAAGGUUAAUUGAUGGGGUUAUCCGUAAGGAGAAGCUCUUGAUCGAAGCCCCGGUAAACGGCGGCCGUAACUAUAACGGUCCUAAGGUAGCGAAAUUCCUUGUCGGGUAAGUUCCGACCUGCACGAAUGGCGUAAUGAUGGCCAGGCUGUCUCCACCCGAGACUCAGUGAAAUUGAACUCGCUGUGAAGAUGCAGUGUACCCGCGGCAAGACGGAAAGACCCCGUGAACCUUUACUAUAGCUUGACACUGAACAUUGAGCCUUGAUGUGUAGGAUAGGUGGGAGGCUUUGAAGCGUGGACGCCAGUCUGCGUGGAGCCAACCUUGAAAUACCACCCUUUAAUGUUUGAUGUUCUAACGUUGGCCCCUUAUCGGGGUUGCGGACAGUGUCUGGUGGGUAGUUUGACUGGGGCGGUCUCCUCCCAAAGCGUAACGGAGGAGCACGAAGGUUAGCUAAUCCUGGUCGGACAUCAGGAGGUUAGUGCAAUGGCAUAAGCUAGCUUGACUGCGAGCGUGACGGCGCGAGCAGGUGCGAAAGCAGGUCAUAGUGAUCCGGUGGUUCUGAAUGGAAGGGCCAUCGCUCAACGGAUAAAAGGUACUCCGGGGAUAACAGGCUGAUACCGCCCAAGAGUUCAUAUCGACGGCGGUGUUUGGCACCUCGAUGUCGGCUCAUCACAUCCUGGGGCUGAAGUAGGUCCCAAGGGUAUGGCUGUUCGCCAUUUAAAGUGGUACGCGAGCUGGGUUUAGAACGUCGUGAGACAGUUCGGUCCCUAUCUGCCGUGGGCGCUGGAGAAUUGAGGGGGGCUGCUCCUAGUACGAGAGGACCGGAGUGGACGCAUCACUGGUGUUCGGGUUGUCAUGCCAAUGGCACUGCCCGGUAGCUAAAUGCGGAAGAGAUAAGUGCUGAAAGCAUCUAAGCACGAAACUUGCCCCGAGAUGAGUUCUCCCUGAGACUUUAAGUCUCCUGAAGGAACGUUGAAGACGACGACGUUGAUAGGCCGGGUGUGUAAGCGCAGCGAUGCGUUGAGCUAACCGGUACUAAUGAACCGUGAGGCUUAACCUU
rnacentral:rRNA from 2 species